UAGUACGGCGAGUGAAGAGGGAAGAGCCCAAGAUUGAAAGCUGGCGUCUUCGGCGUCCGCAUUGUAAUCUCAAGAAGUGUUUUCCGCUUCGGACCAUGCCUAAGUCCCUUGGAAAAGGGCAUCAUAGAGGGUGAUAAUCCCGUACAUGGCAUGGAGCGCCCGAAGCUUUGUGAUACGCUUUCUAAGAGUCGAGUUGUUUGGGAAUGCAGCUCAAAAUGGGUGGUAAAUGCCAUCUAAGGCUAAAUAUUGGGGAGAGACCGAUAGCGAACAAGUACAGUGAUGGAAAGAUGAAAAGAACUUUGAAAAGAGAGUUAAACAGUACGUGAAAUUGCCAAAAGGGAAGGGUAGGAGGUCAGAGAUGCGGCCUGGGAUUCAGCCUUGCUUUUGCUUGGUGUUUUUCCCAGAUUGCAGGCCAACGUCGGUUUUGGGCACUGGAGAAGGGUAGGAGGAACGUGGCACCUCUCGGGGUGUGUUAUAGCCUCCUACUGGAUACAGCGACCGAGACCGAGGACAGCAGCGUACUCGCAAGAGCGGGCCUUCGGGCACCUUUACGCUUAGGGCGUUGGCAUAAUGGCCCUCUACCACCCGUCUGA
rnacentral:rRNA from 1 species